AUUGAACGCUGGCGGCAGGCCUAACACAUGCAAGUCGAGCGAGAAAGGUCUUCGGACUGAGUACAGCGGCGGACGGGUGAGUAAAGCGUAGGAAUCUACCUGGUAGUGGGGGAUAACUUGGGGAAACUCAAACUAAUACCGCAUACGCCCUACGGGGGAAAGCGGGGGACCGUUCGGGCCUCGCGCUAUCAGAUGAGCCUGCGUAGGAUUAGCUAGUUGGUGAGGUAAAGGCUCACCAAGGCGACGAUCCUUAGCUGGUCUGAGAGGAUGAUCAGCCACACUGGGACUGAGACACGGCCCAGACUCCUACGGGAGGCAGCAGUGGGGAAUAUUGCGCAAUGGGCGAAAGCCUGACGCAGCCAUGCCGCGUGUGUGAAGAAGGCCUUCGGUUG
rnacentral:rRNA from 1 species